UAAGUAGACGAGGUGGUCGUCGGUCCUGACUAUUCUCGCGAAUGGAAAGGACGGGAGGAAAGUCCGAGCUCCACAGGACACAGUGCUCCGUAACGCGGAGUCCCGGUGACGGGAAGGAAAGUGCAACAGAAAAUAUACCGUUCCAUCUUUUUGAUGGAAUAAGGGUGAAAUGGCGGGGUCGUUUCCCUGGUUAAAAACAGGGACAAGUAUCGACUUAAUGUAAGAGCCCACCGCUCUGAUGGUGACAUCAGAGGCAUGGCAAACCCCACUGGGAGAAAGGCUAAAUAGGGAGGGAUGAAGUGGUUCCGCUUCGUUAGUACCUCUGGGUAAGCCGUUGGAUCUCGCUGGCAACAACGAGACUAGAUAAAUGACCAUCCACGACAGAACUCGGCUUAUUGUCUGCUUAAA
rnacentral:RNase_P_RNA from 2 species